GGCGACAUCGGGGCAGCAGCGUGGGUAAGACGAGGGUGUGAGGCGUUAAUGGGGAGUGCUGUGCGUAAAUGGUGCGUAGGCGGUUCGUUAAGUCUGCCGUGAAAUCCCCGGGGUCAACCUGGGGAUGGCGGUGGAUACUGGCGAGCUAGAGUGUGUCAGAGGAUGGUGGAAUUCCCGGUGUAGCGGUGAAAUGCGUAGAGAUCGGGAGGAACAUCAGUGGCGAAGGCGGCCAUCUGGGACAACACUGACGCUGAAGCACGAAAGCGUGGGGAGCAAACAGGAUUAGAUACCCGAGUAGUC
rnacentral:rRNA from 1 species